rnacentral:rRNA from 1 species
AACAGCAUGCAAGUCGAACGGACAAUUAUUUAUAGCCUCUGGCUAUAGGAAAUUGUUAGUGGCAGACGGGUGAGUAAUGCGUAGGAAUCUACCUAGUAGUACGGAAUAGCCAUUAGAAAUGGUGGGUAAUACUGUAUAAUCCCCGAGGGGGAAAGAUUUAUCGCUAUUAGAUGAGCCUACGUUAGAUUAGCUAGUUGGUGAGGUAAUGGCUUACCAAGGCUAUGAUCUAUAGCUGGUCUGAGAGGACGAUCAGCCACACUGGAACUGAGAUACGGUCCAGACUCCUACGGGAGGCAGCAGUGGGGAAUAUUGGACAAUGGGCGAAAGCCUGAUCCAGCUAUGCCGCGUGAGUGAAGAAGGCCUUCGGGUUGUAAAACUCUUUCAAUAGGGAAGAUAAUGACGGUACCUAUAGAAGAAGUCCCGGCAAACUCUGUG